AGAUGUGGUUUCCUCCUAUGAGAGAACACCCUGGCCCUGCAAGACAAACCUGGAGGGCAGUUUAUCACUUAUUGCCCACUGAAAGGACAGCAUGGAUGGGCAUUGUCCACUUAAAAGUCAGCCUAUUGUUCCAGUGUCGACGCUGCAACCCUCCUCCACCCCAGCCACCUCUAUUCCAGUUCAUCAGCGUCUAGUCCAGAUUCUCACACAUCUGCUUUUCUCAUCCUGCAUACCAUAGUCUCCUCCUCCACCCCAGCCACCUCAUUGAUCCUGCAUCCCUCAUCAACACCACUGUUAGACUGCUUUGGGGGGUAUCCUUUUCCUGCUGUCGGCCUCACUACCCCUUCAAGUACAUGAAGUCAUCACGAUGGAGUCUAACUGCCAAAGACAUUGCACAUUUCUUUCUAAUCAAAUUUGUAAAAUAAAUUAUUGUUAAACUCA